rnacentral:rRNA from 1 species
GACGAACGCUGGCGGCGUGCUUAACACAUGCAAGUCGAACGGAAAGGCCCUGCUUUUGUGGGGUGCUCGAGUGGCGAACGGGUGAGUAACACGUGAGUAACCUGCCCUUGACUUUGGGAUAACUUCAGGAAACUGGGGCUAAUACCGGAUAGAAGCUCUUGCUGCACGGGGGGGGUUGGAAAGUUUCGGCGGUGGGGGAUGGCCUCGCGGCUUAUCAGCUUGUUGGUGGGGUAGUGGCUUACCAAGGCUUUGACGGGUAGCCGGCCUGAGAGGGUGACCGGCCACAUUGGGACUGAGAUACGGCCCAGACUCCUACGGGAGGCAGCAGUGGGGAAUAUUGCACAAUGGGCGGAAGCCUGAUGCAGCAACGCCGCGUGCGGGAUGACGGCCUUCGGGUUGUAAACCGCUUUCGCCUGUGACGAAGCGUGAGUGACGGUAAUGGGUAAAGAAGCACCGGCUAACUACGUG